rnacentral:rRNA from 1 species
GACAGAGGAUGCAAGCGUUAUCCGGAAUGAUUGGGCGUAAAGCGUCUGUAGGUGGCUUUUCAAGUCCGCCGUCAAAUCCCAGGGCUCAACCCUGGACAGGCGGUGGAUACUGUCGGGCUAGAGUGCGGAAGAGGCGAGUGGAAUUCCUGGUGUAGCGGUGAAAUGCGCAGAUAUCAGGAGGAACACCUAUUGCGAAGGCAGCUCGCUGGGACGUAACUGACGCUGAGACGCGAAAGCGUGGGGAGCAAACAGG